AAAAUACCUUAAUAUAUUGUAAAACAUAUAUACUACACUACAUUACAUACCUUUACACUACAUUAAGGUAUUUUUUUUUGCCCCACUGGCAAAUAGAUGUUUUUUUCUGUUUUAAGCAUGAACUUGAAUAUUUUUUUUCUGUUUCCAGAUUUAUGCUUAAAAUAAGGUUUUAUGUGUGCCCUAACCUCUCUGCAUGUGUAUGUACAUGUGCUGCGGGACAUUCUUGAGAUGACAGACAUGCACACCUACAGGAGCUCAGGGGUGAAGCCCCCCCAUGGCGAAGGAAACGGCCCGAAGAAAGGCCUCAUGCUGGAGGGAGAGGGGCCCGGCAGCUUCCUCAACAAUGGAAGUUCUUGGAAGAUUCUAGGAAGGAUCAGACCUGAGGUGAUUCCCUGUGUUUUUUGGAGGGCUUUGGUUUAAAGAUGAGCUUUUGAAACACUCUGGAAUCCUUGUCAGGAUGUUUUCUUGCUUCCUACUGAACAGCCUCAGGACACAAGCUUAACAUGCACUGACGUGUGUGUUCAACCCUCCUACAGAUGUUGCAACUUUUGUUCUUAGUGUUCAUAAUAUUAAGUGUGUGAAAUUUAAUGGUUGACGAUAAAGAUUUUAAAAACACAUUUGCUUACUGAAACAUUUUUUCUAUGAAAUUUGAUCUGUUUCAGCCACAGACCCUUAAGAAUUAUCAAGUUGUUUGACUGAAACUUAAACGUGAAACUAACUGGGAGCAGUUUCUUUUUCCAGAUCUCGUCUCUUUUGUAAUAGUCUCGCUUUCGCCGCUUUCGUCUACAACUUCAGAAUGGAUCAGGGGCCAGUUGU
ensembl:lncRNA